CACGUGUGCAACCAACCCCGUACCGGGAGAUAACCCGCGGAAACGUGGACUAACACCCCAUAAGACCUUUCCCCCGCAUGGGGGGGAGUUUAAAACCCCGGUGGUACGGGACGGGCACGCGCGACAUUAGGUAGUUGGCGGGGUAACGGCCCACCAAGCCGACGAUGUCUAGGGGUUCUGAGAGGAAGGUCCCCCACACUGGAACUGAGACACGGUCCAGACUCCUACGGGAGGCAGCAGUGAGGAAUAUUGGUCAAUGGGCGAGAGCCUGAACCAGCCAAGUCGCGUGAGGGAAGAAUGGUCUAUGGCCUGUAAACCUCUUUUGUCAAGGAAGAACAUGUAGUACGUGUACUACCCUGCCAGUACUUGACGAAUAAGCAUCGGCUAACUCCGUGCCAGCAGCCGCGGUAAUACGGGGGAUGCGAGCGUUAUCCGGAUUUAUUGGGUUUAAAGGGCGCGUAGGCGGGACGUCAAGUCAGCGGUAAAAGACUGCAGCUAAACUGUAGCACGCCGUUGAAACUGUCGACCUGGAGACGAGACGAGGGAGGCGGAACAAGUGAAGUAGCGGUGAAAUGCAUAGAUAUCACUUGGAACCCCGAUAGCGAAGGCAGCUUCCCAGGCUCGAUCUGACGCUGAUGCGCGAGAGCGUGGGUAGCGAACAGGAUUAGAUACCCUGGUAGUCCACGCCGUAAACGAUGCUCACUGGAUCUUGGCGAUACACGGCCAGGGUUCAAGCGAAAGUAUUAAGUGAGCCACCUGGGGAGUACGUCGGCAACGAUGAAACUCAAAGGAAUUGACGGGGGCCCGCACAAGCGGAGGAACAUGUGGUUUAAUUCGAUGAUACGCGAGGAACCUUACCCGGGUUUAAAUGCAGGUUGCAUGAGGUGGAAACACCUCUUUCCCUCGGGACUACCUGCAAGGUGCUGCAUGGUUGUCGUCAGCUCGUGCCGUGAGGUGUCGGGUUAAGUCCCAUAACGAGCGCAACCCCUAUCGCCAGUUGCCAUCGGUUUCGGCCGGGCACUCUGUCGAGACUGCCACCGUAAGGUGCGAGGAAGGCGGGGAUGACGUCAAAUCAGCACGGCCCUUACACCCGGGGCGACACACGUGUUACAAUGGCCGGUACAGAGGGCAGCCACGGGGCGACCCGGAGCGAAUCUCUAAAGCCGGUCGUAGUUCGGACUGGAGUCUGCAACCCGACUCCACGAAGUUGGAUUCGCUAGUAAUCGCGCAUCAG
rnacentral:rRNA from 1 species